AAGUCUUAAGAAUCAGGGUGACACACCCUGUUGCACCCCACUGCCGAGGGCAUUACUGGUGCCGAUGGUGGGUGAGCACAGGUGUGAUCCAUUUGCUGCAGCUGCCUGGGGAGUGAGAUACGUGACAUGUAUUUAGGCUGCAGCUGCUCUGAGGCAGACCAAGAGACUCGACAUUUCGCAUCAACCCAGCGCCGCAGGAUCCCUGACUGAGGCUCCUUGGAGCUGCAGCAACAGAUAACGGGCUGUCGUCAUCCCUGUCGGCUAGAAUAGAUGGAGGACAGUUUGGGCCAAGUCCUCUACACUGUUGAGAGACCAUGACUAGCCUUCUGCAUGUACUGGUUCCAUAGAGAUACAUGCAGGUAUUUAUAAAUCAACCCUCAAGCUGACUCAUCACUGAGGAAAAUGUAGAGAGAGGUGCCACAGGGAGAAUUGACCUUCACACGGAGCACAGUGGACAAGAUCCUGCUUAUGGAUACCAGAAUUUUAUCAAAAGUAACUCCAUUCAGGAAAUCAGACUCUCAUCAUGGUUUCAUCUUCAGUGUAGAGAAGCAAAAGAACAAAUACAGAUAAAAAUCUCACUCUACAAUAUUCUUAAAGUGGACAUGACCUUUAAAACUGAGAUCACCUGAGAAACAAGAUGGGGGUUGGCACUGCAGGCACAAAAUUGGAGAAACUCCACCUCUGCUCUGAAGUCUUACAACCAUAUCAUCAAGCUAGUUCAGCAUUUGACCUGACAUCGCAUAAAUGUUUGCUACUUUUUCUGUGAUAAACAAAUAACUUUCUUCUC